rnacentral:rRNA from 1 species
UUAAGCGACUAAGCGUACACGGUGGAUGCCCUGGCAGUCAGAGGCGAUGAAGGACGUGCUAAUCUGCGAAAAGCGUCGGUAAGGUGAUAUGAACCGUUAUAACCGGCGAUGUCCGAAUGGGGAAACCCAGUGCAAUUCGUUGCACUAUCGUUAACUGAAUACAUAGGUUAACGAGGCGAACCGGGGGAACUGAAACAUCUAAGUACCCCGAGGAAAAGAAAUCAACCGAGAUUCCCCCAGUAGCGGCGAGCGAACGGGGAGCAGCCCAGAGUCUGAAUCAGCUUGUGUGUUAGUGGAACGGUCUGGAAAGUCCGACGGUACAGGGUGAUAGUCCCGUACACCAAAAUGCACAGGUUGUGAACUCGAAGAGUAGGGCGGGACACGUGGUAUCCUGUCUGAAUAUGGGGGGACCAUCCUCCAAGGCUAAAUACUCCUGACUGACCGAUAGUGAACUAGUACCGUGAGGGAAAGGCGAAAAGAACCCCGGCGAGGGGAGUGAAAAAGAACCUGAAACCGUGUACGUACAAGCAGUGGGAGCACCUUCGGGUGUGACUGCGUACCUUUUGUAUAAUGGGUCAGCGACUUAUAUUCUGUAGCAAGGUUAACCGUAUAGGGGAGCCGCAGGGAAACCGAGUCUUAACUGGGCGUUAAGUUGCAGGGUAUAGACCCGAAACCCGGUGAUCUAGCCAUGGGCAGGUUGAAGGUUGGGUAACACUAACUGGAGGACCGAACCGACUAAUGUUGAAAAAUUAGCGGAUGACUUGUGGCUGGGGGUGAAAGGCCAAUCAAACCGGGAGAUAGCUGGUUCUCCCCGAAAGCUAUUUAGGUAGCGCCUCGUGAAUUCAUCUUCGGGGGUAGAGCACUGUUUCGGCUAGGGGGUCAUCCCGACUUACCAAUCCGAUGCAAACUACGAAUACCGAAGAAUGUUAUCACGGGAGACACACGGCGGGUGCUAACGUCCGUCGUGAAGAGGGAAACAACCCAGACCGCCAGCUAAGGUCCCAAAGUCAUGGUUAAGUGGGAAACGAUGUGGGAAGGCACAGACAGCCAGGAUGUUGGCUUAGAAGCAGCCAUCAUUUAAAGAAAGCGUAAUAGCUCACUGGUCGAGUCGGCCUGCGCGGAAGAUGUAACGGGGCUAAACCAUGCACCGAAGCUGCGGCAGCGACACUAUGUGUUGUUGGGUAGGGGAGCGUUCUGUAAGCCUGCGAAGGUGACCUGUGAGGGUUGCUGGAGGUAUCAGAAGUGCGAAUGCUGACAUAAGUAACGAUAAAGCGGGUGAAAAGCCCGCUCGCCGGAAGACCAAGGGUUCCUGUCCAACGUUAAUCGGGGCAGGGUGAGUCGACCCCUAAGGCGAGGCCGAAAGGCGUAGUCGAUGGGAAACAGGUUAAUAUUCCUGUACUUGGUGUUACUGCGAAGGGGGGACGGAGAAGGCUAUGUUAGCCGGGCGACGGUUGUCCCGGUUUAAGCAUGUAGGCUGGUUGUCCAGGCAAAUCCGGAUAAUCAAGGCUGAGGUGUGAUGACGAGGCACUACGGUGCUGAAGUAACAAAUGCCCUGCUUCCAGGAAAAGCCUCUAAGCAUCAGGUAACAUUAAAUCGUACCCCAAACCGACACAGGUGGUCAGGUAGAGAAUACCAAGGCGCUUGAGAGAACUCGGGUGAAGGAACUAGGCAAAAUGGUGCCGUAACUUCGGGAGAAGGCACGCUGGUGUGUAGGUGAAGUCCCUGCGGAUGGAGCUGAGACCAGUCGAAGAUACCAGCUGGCUGCAACUGUUUAUUAAAAACACAGCACUGUGCAAACACGAAAGUGGACGUAUACGGUGUGACGCCUGCCCGGUGCCGGAAGGUUAAUUGAUGGGGUUAUCCGUAAGGAGAAGCUCUUGAUCGAAGCCCCGGUAAACGGCGGCCGUAACUAUAACGGUCCUAAGGUAGCGAAAUUCCUUGUCGGGUAAGUUCCGACCUGCACGAAUGGCGUAAUGAUGGCCAGGCUGUCUCCACCCGAGACUCAGUGAAAUUGAACUCGCUGUGAAGAUGCAGUGUACCCGCGGCAAGACGGAAAGACCCCGUGAACCUUUACUAUAGCUUGACACUGAACAUUGAGCCUUGAUGUGUAGGAUAGGUGGGAGGCUUUGAAGCGUGGACGCCAGUCUGCGUGGAGCCAACCUUGAAAUACCACCCUUUAAUGUUUGAUGUUCUAACGUUGGCCCCUUACCGGGGUUGCGGACAGUGUCUGGUGGGUAGUUUGACUGGGGCGGUCUCCUCCCAAAGCGUAACGGAGGAGCACGAAGGUUAGCUAAUCCUGGUCGGACAUCAGGAGGUUAGUGCAAUGGCAUAAGCUAGCUUGACUGCGAGCGUGACGGCGCGAGCAGGUGCGAAAGCAGGUCAUAGUGAUCCGGUGGUUCUGAAUGGAAGGGCCAUCGCUCAACGGAUAAAAGGUACUCCGGGGAUAACAGGCUGAUACCGCCCAAGAGUUCAUAUCGACGGCGGUGUUUGGCACCUCGAUGUCGGCUCAUCACAUCCUGGGGCUGAAGUAGGUCCCAAGGGUAUGGCUGUUCGCCAUUUAAAGUGGUACGCGAGCUGGGUUUAGAACGUCGUGAGACAGUUCGGUCCCUAUCUGCCGUGGGCGCUGGAGAAUUGAGGGGGGCUGCUCCUAGUACGAGAGGACCGGAGUGGACGCAUCACUGGUGUUCGGGUUGUCAUGCCAAUGGCACUGCCCGGUAGCUAAAUGCGGAAGAGAUAAGUGCUGAAAGCAUCUAAGCACGAAACUUGCCCCGAGAUGAGUUCUCCCUGAGACUUUAAGUCUCCUGAAGGAACGUUAAAGACGAUGACGUUGAUAGGCCGGGUGUGUAAGCGCAGCGAUGCGUUGAGCUAACCGGUACUAAUGAACCGUGAGGCUUAACCUU